rnacentral:lncRNA from 1 species
AUGAAAGAGUUUGAAGGCAGAGUGAAGCAAAGCAUUCUUCAUUUUAUUUCAUCUAUAAAUUUUCCUCUAAUGAUCUGUAAAGGAGGGAAGAAAGAUGAGAUAAAGAAAAAAAAUAGACAGUCUCUACCCAUCACCUGGAUUUGGAGAUAGAUGCCAUGAAUUGAAUUUCUGUUCAACUAUUUAUAGGAAUUUGGGUCUAGGUGACACUUUUAGAAGGGACACUGAUAAAUUGGAGGUAUACAGAAGUUGGUGACCAGAAGAUGAAAAAAGAUUACAUUCAAUCAGGAUCAAGUGAAAGAUCUGGACACAUUUCACUUGGGGAAAAAAUUUGGUGGAGAUGGGUGGCUGAUAGUGAUCAUCAGGUAUUUGAACAUUUGUCAUGCAGAAAGAAGAGGGAUUAAACCUGUUUUAUUUGGUCCAGGGGGUAGAACUAGGAGCACUAAAGAGAAAUUGCAAAGCAAUGUAAUUAUAUAUUACAUGAAAUUAAAAAACAAACUUUGUUUCAAUUAGAGUUAUCACCUCCUUGAGAAGUAGUGGUGGUUCUCCUUCAUUGAAACUUUUCAAUCAAAGGUUGGGAACCACUUCUCAGGCAUAUAAUAAAUUUCUUGUUCUGAUAUGGAAAGCA